rnacentral:rRNA from 1 species
UACGUAGGGUGCGAGCGUUGUCCGGAAUUACUGGGCGUAAAGAGCUCGUAGGUGGUUUGUCGCGUUGUUCGUGAAAACCGGGGGCUUAACCCUCGGCGUGCGGGCGAUACGGGCAGACUUGAGUACUGCAGGGGAGACUGGAAUUCCUGGUGUAGCGGUGGAAUGCGCAGAUAUCAGGAGGAACACCGGUGGCGAAGGCGGGACUCUGGGCCGAUACUGACGCUGAGGAGCGAAAGCGUGGGGAGCGAACAGG